ensembl:lncRNA
GUUUUUGACAUGACAAAGCAUAUCAGAGUUUAUGAUAACACCAGCCAAUAUCUGACAAUACACAACCGUGACAUGGAAAUUCUGAAAGAUGCUUUAAGAAAUAUUGCAUCCUUGGACGAUUGGACUGUGUCUAGUCCACAGCAAUGGCAGAGAGACAAUGGAAGGAACUGUGGUGUUUUCGUAUGCACAAUGGCAGAGAUGGAAGCUAAAAGUUUUAAAAUGUGCCAGGAAAUUCUGCACACUGAACAGAUGGGAUCCCUUCGUCUUUACCAUGCCUCAUGCAUGGUGAAACAUCUGCAACCAGAGGACUUUUCACCCGAAGUCAAAAUAGUCCAGAGUGCAACACAGACCAGCUGUAUGGCCCAGGAUGUACUGUAGGAGUUUGCAUUUAUCAAAAAUAUUGAUCAAAAGUAAUGCACCCACGAAUCCAGUCGCUGGACUGGAUUCAAUGUGACCUUUGCAAAAAAUGGCUGCAUUCUGACUGCGCUGGUAUCAGUCUUGAAACGAUCACAGAGGAAACAGCAUUCAGUUGUGGAUGUGACACUAACCAUGUGCAUACCUUUGAGAAGUAUGUUAUACCUUAAAUUAUAUUUUUUUUUAUAAAAAAGUACAAUAUAUGUUUAAUACUACUUUGAUUUUACAGAACAUUGGCACUACUGAAGAAGGGCUGGUUGGUUGACCUUGUAAUACAGGAUCAAGAAGUCUUGGUAAAUAUUUCAAAUUACUAAGCAAACCAUUUUACUACUAAUAUCCUAGCUAUCAUUUUUAGCAUUGUUAUUUACAAAGAGGUAGUCUUUCACUGACUUUUUACUUUUGUAAUGUUUUUCAUGUGUUCACGUAUUGUAUAGCAAUAUAAUCUGUUAUAGCUAGAAAAGUUUACAUUUCUUACAUUUGUCUAAUUUUGGUUACAUUCCAGAGAUUGCACGAAGGCUUGAGAUCCGAUCCAGCAGGAUGUUUUUAUCCGAUCCAGCAGGAUGUUUUUAUUUAAACAUCCCACAUUUUCUUCAAAGCUGUGGAUGAAACUUAGCAAAAAGUUUUGUUUUUUUUGAUGAAGAACAGGUAUUUCAUACUGUUUGCCUUGUUUAACAAUUUAUAGUUAAAAUAAGUUUAUGUUAUGCCUUAAGAACAGAAGACUGUACAGAUGCAUAAGAAAGUAUAAAUCAGACGUUAUUUUAACAUCUCAUAUUUCAUUGGAAUGUAUACUGUCAAUGUAGAUUUUCUACAGAAAAAUUAGAG